GACGAACGCUGGCGGCGUGCUUAACACAUGCAAGUCGAACGGAAAGGCCCCCAUCUUGGUGGGGGUGCUCGAGUGGCGAACGGGUGAGUAACACGUGGGUGAUCUGCCCUGUACUUCGGGAUAAGCUUGGGAAACUGGGUCUAAUACCGGAUAGGACCAUGGUUUAGUGUCUCAUGGUGGAAAGAUUAUUGUUUUGGUGCAGGAUGAGCUCGCGGCCUAUCAGCUUGUUGGUGGGGUAAUGGCCUACCAAGGCGUCGACGGGUAGCCGGCCUGAGAGGGUGGACGGCCACAGUGGGACUGAGAUACGGCCCAGACUCCUACGGGAGGCAGCAGUGGGGAAGAUUGCACAAUGGGCGAAAGCCUGAUGCAGCGACGCCGCGUGGGGGAUGACGGCCUUCGGGUUGUAAACUCCUUUCGGUAGGGACGAAGCCACGCUUUUGGGGUGUGGUGACGGUACCUUUGUGAAGAAGCACCGGCUAACUACGUG
rnacentral:rRNA from 1 species